rnacentral:rRNA from 1 species
AGUGAACGCUGGCGGUAGGCCUAACACAUGCAAGUCGAACGGCAGCACAGUAAGAGCUUGCUCUUACGGGUGGCGAGUGGCGGACGUGUGAGGAAUUCAUCGGAAUCUACUUUUUCGUGGGGGAUAACGUAGGGAAACUUACGCUAAUACCGCAUACGACCUACGGGUGAAAGCAGGGGAUCUUCGGACCUUGCGCGAUUGAAUGAGCCGAUGUCGGAUUAGCUAGUUGGCGGGGUAAAGGCCCACCAAGGCGACGAUCCGUAGCUGGUCUGAGAGGAUGAUCAGCCACACUGGAACUGAGACACGGUCCAGACUCCUACGGGAGGCAGCAGUGGGGAAUAUUGGACAAAGGGCGCAAGCCUGAUCCAGCCAUACCGCGUGGGUGAAGAAGGCCUUCGGGUUGUAAAGCCCUUUUGUUGGGAAAGAAAAGCAGCAGGUUAAUACCCCGCUGUUCUGACGGUACCCAAAGAAUAAGCACCGGCUAACUUCGUG